ACGACAACAGAUAGUUGCAGGCAUUAAGGUAGACGUUGAUGGAGUAGGCAGUCGGUAUCUUUUCCCAGGGUCAAAAUGUCAAACAGUGGAAGGUGGGGGGUAAUUUCGAAGGAGAUGUGCGGGGUAAGAUUUUUACAGAGAGUGGUGGAUGCCUGGGAUGUGCCGCAGAUACGAUGAGAGGGUUUUAAGAGGCGAGUGUCUCUUAGACAGGCACACACGUGCAAAGAGUGAAGGGAUAUGGACACCAUGUGGGCCGAGGAGAUGGUUAGUUAUGGAAUUACUAGUUGAUUGUGGGCUGAAGGCCUGUUCCUGAGCUAUUCCAUAUUUGCAAAUACCAAACGUCCUUAAGGACAAACUGAUAAUGACCAUUAGCUGUUGGAUCAGUGGAUCAAACGAGCCCAUCAAUUUAAACCGACUCAUGAUAAAACUGAACUUCACAAAUGUGUCUUUGCAGUUGUUACAAUGGAGUACGAGGAAGACUUUGUGAACAUUUCAACAUUAAUGUUUAAAUGAUCACUUGUGGUAUCUCGCUGGACCCUUCAACAACAAACUCGAUUCUGUUGAAACAGCCACCAGCAACAUCGCUGUCCAUCCAAGAUCCAAGAUGGCGGCACGACGCAGCUUGCAGCAGCCACUCCGAAACUGAUUAUCUGUUAUUUGUGGAGUGGGUUGCCGUGCGCAAUCACAAUCAAUUGAAAACGGAUGUGGAAACACGGAGAAACUUCGGGAAAUUCCUGGAAGACCUUUUUCGUUGCUGCUGUGAGGUCCGGGACUCUGCUGGGAAGAACAGGCCCCCAGUCUUUGGGGUUGCUGGGGCCAUCUUAAUACGCUUGGCAGAGGAUGGUGCUCGGAGAAGCUGUGCCAGAGGGGAUGGUCGUCAGUUCAGAGGUUCGACAGACUCGGGUAACUUUCGGCUCCUGAUCUGGAAUGCUUAGUCCAAGAGAAAUGUUUUCCCUCGGUGUUGCAGCAAAGACAGGGUUUCGAAUGACAACAGUUCUCCAGCCCAUUCUCUCUUCCGAUGCAACUCAAGGAUGUGACUGAGUCUUCACGUGAUGAGCUUACAAUUCUGCCUACCCUUGUAGACCCCACGUUGGACAGGCUGCAAUGCAGAUUCCAGCAUGUGUCUCGCUCCCUGUGUCAUUCAGGUGCAAAAAUCAAAAACUGCUGCAGGAACUGAGCAAGUCAGGCAGCAUCUAUGGAGGGUGGUAAUCAGUCAACGUUUUGGGCUGAGACCUUUGUCAAGACUGGAAAGGAAGAUGGACAGGGGCCUGAAUUUACUGUGUACUGUGGAGAUCUGAUUCCUCACUCCGAUGAAAAGCUUUACCUCCCAAACAUCCACACCUGAAAUGGACCUUGGGUGAGAGAACGUUUGUUAUUUGGAAUAAUCUACAGGAGGAAGCUCAUUGUUCUUUGGAACGCAGAGCUGCUUUUUAACAUGGCCAGAGUGAUGAGGUUGCAGAAUUGUCUAGUUUUUGUCAUCUUUAUGUCAAAUUUCAUAUAAUGUAUUAUUAAUAAGCAUGUGGUUUUGCUUGUAAAAUUCCACCAUCAUGCUAAUUGCUUUAGGAAAUUCAUUUGUCGAAUAGUCUGUUGAUAUUGAGGGAAAUUCAGCUCUUUGCUCAUUAUUGUAGUUUGUGGGACACACAGCUCACUAUCCAAUCGCAAACGUAAAAGUGCAAGUACCUGGGUUCUGCGGCACUCAAUGGGUUAAUGCGCCGAUUGCUCUCCGAGUCCUGGAUCAGCUCCCGACUGCAGCUAUUAAUCAAACAUGAGGCAAAUUGACAGUGUCAUUUCAAUAAUGAAUGAGAACAUUAGAAAAUGAAAUAGAUCACAUUUCGUAACAUUUUCUAUUUACUCACACUCCUGUCUUCACAACAAAACACAGCUUCUGUUGUAAGCCACAUAAUACAUUAAUAUUUCUCAGAGACAGAGGAAAGUUAAUUACUUACUUUACACAACAAUUUUAUCUCCACUCUUUUAGCGUAAUUAUUUUCACAGAUUUACCAAAAAGCCAUUGUGUUUAAAUAGAUUUCAAGAAAAGCGAUGCAUGUGAUCUUUGAGGGAAACACUCUUAGAAAAAGACCAACAAGAGAAAAUCUGCAGAUGCUGGAAAUCCGAGCAACAGACAUAAAAUGCUGGAGGAACUCAGCAGGCCAGGCAGCAUCUGUGGAAAAUGAGUACAGUCGACGUUUCAGGCUGAAACCCUUCAGCAGGACUGGCCUGCAGAGUUCUGCUAGCAUUUUGUAUGUGGUAAAAGACAAUGUGUUUGCCCCUACACUGUUGUGGAAGAUUUUCCCAAAUCUGCAUAAACUGUUGUGUUUCCCACAUUAUCACUGACUGCACUUCGAGAACUUCUUCCGUCACUCUGCAGUCAUUUGGGGUGUCCUGAGUUACAUGAAGACAAGCCUGCCGUGUUUUUAACUCCCAGAAUGCCCGUGCCCUGGCUAAUAGACAACGUUACAUUUCACAAAAAUGCAUGGUUUAAAGCUGCCUUAACUUGCCCUACUGCGUAAAAAUACUGAUUGCCAACAAGUCUCCUAGUGAAAAGGCCCAAAGGCUAACUCCAGGAGAGUUUGUUUCCUAAAAGGAUUGAUCACUUGGUACAGUCGAUCACAGAGGGAACUCAGCUGCAAGACAUUCACUGAGAAACGUGGACUGGGUGAACAUUGUAGAUCUGCCAAAGGUGUAGGAAAUGUUCAAAGUAAAUUUAUUGUUAAGUUACAUAUACGUCCCCAAAUACAGCCCUGCGAUUCGUUUUCCUGUGGAUAUGCACAGCACAUCCGGGAAACACGACAGAAUCAGUGAGAGACAAACCCAAACGGACAAACAACCAAUCUGCAAACGACAACAAACUGGAAAUACAAAAGAAAAAAUAAUAAUAGCAAUAAAUAAAUAAGCAAUAAAUAUCAGGAACAUGACAUGGAGAGUCCACAGGUUGUGGAAUCAGAUCGGUGAUGGGGAAGUGAAGUUGAGUGAAAUUAUCCCCACUGGUUCACGAGCCUGACGGUUGCUGGGUGAUGACCGAUCCUGGAACUGGUGGUGUGAGCCCUGAGGUUCCUGUACCUCCUCGUGAUGGCAACAGCGAGAAGUGAGCAUGACCUGGGUAUUGAGGGUCCCCUGAGUGGUGGGAUCCUCUGGGUGAUCGGGGAUACUCUGGGUGGUGAGGGUCCACUGGGUGUUGGGGGUCCCCUGGGUGGUGGGGUCUCUGAUGAUAGACUGUUUGUUGCUCUUUCCCCGGGUCAGCCCCCACAGGCUCUGGGAGCAGAGAUUUGUUCCCUGACGACAUUAGAAAUGAUUUUAACAGUUUCUAAUUAUUUCCAAGAGGGCCUGGAAUUCAGCUGAGAGGGAGAGUGUUCAAAGAAGAUGUGGGGUCACGUUUUUUACACGGAGUGUAGAAUGCAAUGCUGUGGUGGUGAGGGCCGAGACGACAGAGGGUUUUAGGCCCACAACGAUGUAGAAAAUGGAGAGAGAUUGUCCACGUGCAGGCAGAAAGGAUAGUUUAGAUCAACACAACAUCGUGGGCCAAAGAGCCUGCUUGUCUGCUCUACUCUUCUGUUUUAUGUUUCAAUAUCUGGAUAGAUUUAAAAAUCACUAUUGUCAAAGCAAGCAAAAUGUUAAUUGCUUUAAUAUGUAGAUUAUUAAAAUCUUUAAAGUAAAA